GACGAACGCUGGCGGCGUGCCUAAUACAUGCAAGUCGAGCGAAUCAACAGGAGCUUGCUCCUGUUGGUUAGCGGCGGACGGGUGAGUAACACGUGGGCAACCUGCCUGUAAGACUGGGAUAACACCGGGAAACCGGUGCUAAUACCGGAUAAUCCUUUUCCUCUCAUGAGGAAAAGCUGAAAGUCGGUUUCGGCUGACACUUACAGCUUGACCCGCGGCGCAUUAGCUAGUUGGUGAGGUAACGGCUCACCAAGGCGACGAUGCGUAGCCGACCUGAGAGGGUGAUCGGCCACACUGGGACUGAGACACGGCCCAGACUCCUACGGGAGGCAGCAGUAGGGAAUCUUCCACAAUGGACGAAAGUCUGAUGGAGCAACGCCGCGUGAGCGAUGAAGGCCUUCGGGUCGUAAAGCUCUGUUGUUAGGGAAGAACAAGUACCGGAGUAACUGCCGGUACCUUGACGGUACCUAACCAGAAAGCCACGGCUAACUACGUGCCAGCAGCCGCCGUAAUAC
rnacentral:rRNA from 1 species